CCCUUUAAGGGGGCGGAGCUAUUGUUUUGGCGGCGGCUUUGAAAGCCGCUCUGGGUGCACGUUCUUAGGCGCCCCUCUCUCAGUUUCCGCUGCGGUCUUAAAGACGCUUCUCUUGGACCUUGCUCUGGGAAUGCGACCGGACAUAGUUCCCUACUCUACGUCUGGGUCGAGUUGGAGGUGAACCCUUGAGUCUGACACGGCCGGGCCGACCCGCCGGCCCGAGCCCACGGCCUGUCGUUAUGACGUGUGGUUUUCAGAAGUUGUUUUCUGUGGAAGAGGACUUUGAAGAUGAGGAUUUCUUAUCUGCUUUGGAGAAUGCAGAGAACCACGUUGUUAGUGCACUGCCCAGGGAUGCUGGGUGCCUGAGACCUGUCUCUUCCAGACCACAGGAGACUGUGCAGACACAAUCCUCAAGACCAGUGCCAUCAUACCCCACCUCCAACCAGUCAGUCCCAAGACUGUGUCUCCCUCCCUCCAGCAUGCGGGAGAACGCCAAGGCUCCACUCAGCACAGGAGUGAUGUCCCUGAGACCUGCCUCCAUUUCUAGCAGCAGCUUGAGUAGUCAGCAAAGAAUGACGGGAGCAAAGGUGUUCCAAGAGUCGUCAGGCCCCCAGCCCUCAGCCGCACACUCUGGAUAUAUUUUUGAGAGCCAUCAACAGGGCAUUGGUGACUUUGAAGCACCUGAUCAAGAUGACCUUGACAAGGCCCUGGCAAGCAUGGAGUUCGAGGGAGCUGGCUUGGAGCUAGAAGCCGACAGUGGAGCCACCCAGAUCCUGCCUGCCAAGCACUGUGAGGAUCCUGUGUUGGCAAAAAAGGCCCGAGUAGCUGAUCUGAGUGGAUCGUUACGGAAGGAGCCUAUGGUCCACUGUAGAAAUCCAUGGCCUUCCUUGAGACCUACGUCAGCCACAGGCAGCCUUCCUGUCCCAGCUACAUCAUGUGUCUCCACUUCCCAACAAAGGGGCUCCCCUGCUCCUGCACCUCAGUAUCUGCCAGUGGCUGGAAGGACCAUCCGAAGCAGCCCACAGAAUUAUGGGCCGGGCCAGCCACUUCAGUCUCCCAGAGCGUGGUCAAGUGGCAAACCCCGUUUUUCUGGACCUCAACGUCCCCACGGCAGCUCUGCAGCAUUUUGUCAGGGGCCCUUGUCAUCCCGAGCCCCAGUGUCUUCUGUUGAAUCUCCUGUCAGCACCCCCAGAAAUACUUCCACCCCAGUUACUCAGCCAGCUCUUCAGACACCUGUAGUUACCAACCACCUGGUACAGCUUGUCACUGCUACCAACCGGACACCCCAGCAGCCCUCCCGCCCCUCCAUUCGAGCUAAAACCCGCCGCUUUCCUGGCCCAGCAGGACUUCUGCCUCACCAACACAGCGGGGAGAAUCUGGAGGAGAUCAUGGUUUCCACACCCCAGACUCCGACUCACGGGGCCCUGGCUAAAUUCCAGACUGAGAUUGCUACCAGUUCCCAGGGAUCUGUGGAAGAGGAUUUCGGGCAGGGGCCCUGGCUCACCAUGAAAUCUGCUCUGGGCCUGGACGAGGGAGACCCCACCUGCUUUCUCUAUACCUACAGUAUUGUCAUGGUGCUACGCAAGCAGGCGGCCCUCAAGCAGCUCCCCAGGAACAAGGUCCCCAAUAUGGCGGUGAUGAUCAAGUCCCUGACUCGGAGCACAAUGGAUGCCAGUGUGGUGUUUAAGGACCCCACGGGAGAGAUGCUUGGAACGGUGCACAGAGUGCUUCUAGAGACACACCAGAGUGAGCUGAGGCCUGGCUCGGUGCUGUUGCUGAAGCAGAUUGGAGUGUUUUCUCCUUCCCUCAGAAACCACUACCUGAAUGUGACACCCAACAACCUAGUCCACAUUUACAGUCUAGAUUCUGGAGAUGGGGACUUCCUCGAGCCACCUCAGCCCUUGCCCAAGGAUCUGGGAAACUCCCAUGGAAGCCUCCAGCCUGAUGUGGCUGCAGAGCCCACACGGGGCCUCAGAACAGCACAGAACCCAGCGGUGGCAUUUCCAGAAGAGGAGCUCUCAGAGGCAGGAGGCAGACCUGCCAUGACACCUGUGUGAAGGUCAAAGGAUGACUUGUGGGACUCAAGCCCUCUACAAGAUAGGUCUGGAGUCACCCACUUGGCCAUCUGGCCAGCUCUGGAACGGCCCUGUUCAGUUCCCUUUUCUUUUCCUUUUCUUUUUGUAUCCGGGAGGGGUUUGUUUGUAAACAGGGUUUCUCUGUAGCCUUGGCUGUCCUGAAACUCGCUCUGUAGACCAAGCUGACCUCAGACUCAGAGACCUGCAUGCUGGUCAAAGAUGACCUGGAUGGACUCCUGAGUGAGCUCCCUGAGGACUUCUUCUGUGAGCCCAGCAGCUAGGGCUGCCUCAAGACAGGGCAUCCACCAUGAGCUGGCAGCCUCUCUGCUCCCAGACAAGCUAGGUGCAUCUGGGAGAGAACGCCAGUGCACUGGAGACAGCUCAAGCCCAUGGUCUGAUGCCUCCCAUAACCACCUUGAAAUGCCUAGUGAUGGGCCAGACAGUGGGCUGCCUGGCUUAACGACUCGACGACUUCUUUUGGCAUGGGCAUCCUGGAAAUCUGGCCAGGGCUUGCUCCCCUACAUCCUUAUCCCUCUGGCACAUUGUCCUCCAGCCAAUAAGAAAAGUGGGAUCCUCCCACCCCAUCCUAACUUUCAAGAGGCUGGACUUGAUUUCCUUGUUCCUUUAUUCCUCAAUCCCCUGCCAGCUGAGGAGCCCAAAGGAGCCACAACCACAGCAGAGGUGACCUAAGGCCUGUUGUCCACCAGGGUGACUGUGAGGUGCAGGCUGCUGUACCUGGUUCUGAAAUAAAGCGUCCCUUCCUCAUU